rnacentral:rRNA from 1 species
ACGCUCGACACCUAGGCAGCAGUGGGGAAUAUUGCACAAUGGGGGAAACCCUGAUGCAGCGACGCCGCGUGGAGGAAGAAGGUCUUCGGAUUGUAAACUCCUGUUGUUGGGGAAAAAGAGGAUGGUACCCAACAAGGAAGUGACGGCUAACUACGUGCCAGCAGCCGCGGUAAUCUGAGCGGGCUGGCAAGGC